ACAGAAGCAGCCAGUGUUAAAGGCAGGUGGUGACACAACCCAUUACUGGUCUGGGUGAUCCCCCAAAGCAUCCCACUGAUACACUCAGAAGCGUCAAACACACCUGUAUUUUCAUUUGGCUUAGGAGAUGCUGGUAAAACAUCAUUGUAAUUUUUCUUAAGAAUUCAAAGACGCCAAGACCCUGGAAGCAUCUGCGUGACUUGGAUUGCCCCAAGAGUUGGCGCCUUGAGCAGGCAAUCGUUCAGUUGCCAGUGUAUGGGUGCCUAGGAUCUGAGCACCGCUCUGGAAUCCUUCAUGGUGUGCAGUACCUCGUUGUUUUUUGCUGCAAAUAACUUCUCGCCAUCGAAGGGGAGAUUCUCCACGAUGUUUUGUAUCUUGCGUGGGAAAGAAAAAGAGGUAAACCAUGAAGCCCGAUGCAUCACUAUGGCUGUUGCGGUGGAUCUGGCAGCUGUGUCUGCAGCAUUGAGGGCAGCCUGCAAUGCC